rnacentral:rRNA from 1 species
AUUGAACGCUGGCGGCAGGCCUAACACAUGCAAGUCGAGCGGAGCGGCGGACGGGUGAGUGAUGCCUAGGAAUCUGCCUGGUAGUGGGGGAUAACGUCCAGUAACGGGAGCGAAUACCACUUACUAUUAGAAGAGCCUGGGGCGGAUUAGCUAGUUGGUGGGGUAAAGGCCUACCAAGGCGACGAUCCGUAACUGGUCUGAGAGGAUGAUCAGUCACACUGGAACUGAGACACGGUCCAGACUCCUACGGGAGGCAGCAGUGGGGAAUAUUGGACAAUGGGCGAAAGCCUGAUCCAGCCAUGCCGCGUGUGUGAAGAAGGUCUUCGGAUUGUAAAGUACUUUAAGUUGGGAGGCGUUACCAACAGAAUAAGCACCGGCUAACUUCGUGCCAGCAGCCGCGGUAAUUC